rnacentral:rRNA from 1 species
AGAGUUUGAUCCUGGCUCAGAGGGAACGCUGGCGGCGUGGUUUAGGCAUGCAAGUCGAGCGAUUUUGCAUUUGAACUUAAGUUUGACCGCAAGGAAGGGCUUAUGGGAUGAUGCAAAAGAGCGGCAAAAGGGUGAGUAAUACAUGGGUAAUCUGCCUUAAAGUUUGGAAUAACCCAGCGAAAGCUGGACUAAUGCCGAAUAAGACUAAGCGAACGCAUGUUCGUGCAGUUAAAGAUGGGGAACCGCAAGGUCCUAUCACUUUUUGAUGAGCCCGUGCCCUAUCAGCUAGUUGGCGGGGUAACGGCCCACCAAGGCUAUUGACGGGUAGCUGGUCUGAGAGGAUGGUCAGCCACAUUGGGACUGAGACACUGCCCAGACUCCUACGGGAGGCUGCAGUCGAGAAUCUUUAGCAAUGGGCGAAAGCCUGACUAUGCGACGCCGCGUGUGUGAUGAAGGUCUUCGGAUUGUAAAACACUGUCAGAUCGGAAGAAGCCUUUGGCUUUAAAUAAUCGCCAAAGGCGGACGGUACGAUCAAAGGAAGCCACGGCUAACUCCGUGCCAGCAGCCGCGGUAAUACGGAGGUGGCAAGCGUUACUCGGAAUUAUUGGGUGUAAAGGGUAUGUAGGUGGAUUUGUAAGUCGAAUGUGAAAUACCUUUGCUUAACGAAGGAACGGCAUUCGAAACUGCUUAUCUUGAGUAUUGGAGAGGAAAGGGGAAUUCCCGGUGUAAGGGUGAAAUCUGUAGAUAUCGGGAGGAACACCAGUGGCGAAGGCGCCUUUCUGGCUGAAUACUGACACUGAAAUACGAAAGCUACGGUAGCAAACAGGAUUAGAUACCCUGGUAGUCGUAGCUGUAAACGAUGAGCACUAGGUGUCGGGCCGCAAGGCUCGGUGCCGCAGUUAACACAUUAAGUGCUCCACCUGGGGAGUACGACCGCAAGGUUGAAACUCAAAGGAAUUGACGGGGGCCCGCACAAGCGGUGGAGCAUGCGGUUUAAUAGGACGCUACACCUGGAACCUUACCAGGGCUUGACAUGCUGGAAGUAGAAACCUGAAAGGGCAACGACCUGUCAAAUCAGGAGCCAGCACAGGUGUUGCAUGGCUGUCGUCAGCUCGUGCUGUGAAGUGUCGGGUUAAGUCCCAUAACGAGCGCAACCAUCGUCUUUAGUUACCCAGCAAUGGGAUCUCUAGAGAGACUGCCUCCGUUUAGGAGGAGGAAGGUGGUGAUGACGUCAAGUCAGUACGGCCCUUACGCCCUGGGCUACACGCGUGCUACAAUGGUCGGUACAAUGAGUUGCGAUACCGCGAGGUGGAGCUAAUCUCAAAAAGCCGGCCCCAGUUCAGAUUGAAGGCUGCAAUUCGCCUUCAUGAAGUCGGAAUCGCUAGUAACGGCAUAUCAGACAUGAUGCCGUGAAUACGUUCCCGGGCCUUGUACACAAAAUUAAGCGCGCCAGGCAGUUUAUAAAGCAAGAAGGUUAAAAUCCUUUUCCGCCACAAAGUGGCGAGAUAGCCAAAAAAAUUACGGCAGCUGCGAUACCGAGAGGGUUGCAG